UACCACUCGGUUUUAGGUUUGG
rnacentral:siRNA from 1 species